rnacentral:rRNA from 1 species
UACGGGGGGAGCAAGCGUUGUUCGGAUUUACUGGGCGUAAAGGGCGCGUAGGCGGUCGUGACAAAUCACUUGUGAAAUCUCCGGGCUUAACUCGGAACGGUCAAGUGAUACUGUUGUGCUAGAGUGCGGAAGGGGCUACUGGAAUUCUCGGUGUAGCGGUGAAAUGCGUAGAUAUCGAGAGGAACACCUGCGGCGAAGGCGGGUAGCUGGGCCGACACUGACGCUGAGGCGCGAAAGCCAGGGGAGCGAACGGG